rnacentral:rRNA from 1 species
UACGUAGGGCGCAAGCGUUAUCCGGAAUUAUUGGGCGUAAAGGGCGCGUAGGCGGUCAGCACAAGUCAGUUGUGAAAUCUCCGGGCUUAACUCGGAAAGGUCAACUGAUACUGUGCGACUAGAGUGCAGAAGGGGCAACUGGAAUUCUCGGUGUAGCGGUGAAAUGCGUAGAUAUCGAGAGGAACACCUGCGGCGAAGGCGGGUUGCUGGGCUGACACUGACGCUGAUGCGCGAAAGCCAGGGGAGCGAACGGG